UUUCCUCCCGAGUGCUUGCACUCAAUUGGAAAGAGGAGUGGCGGACGGGUGAGUAACACGUGGGUAACCUACCCAUCAGAGGGGGAUAACACUUGGAAACAGGUGCUAAUACCGCAUAACAGUUUAUGCCGCAUGGCAUAAGAGUGAAAGGCGCUUUCGGGUGUCGCUGAUGGAUGGACCCGCGGUGCAUUAGCUAGUUGGUGAGGUAACGGCUCACCAAGGCCACGAUGCAUAGCCGACCUGAGAGGGUGAUCGGCCACACUGGGACUGAGACACGGCCCAGACUCCUACGGGAGGCAGCAGUAGGGAAUCUUCGGCAAUGGACGAAAGUCUGACCGAGCAACGCCGCGUGAGUGAAGAAGGUUUUCGGAUCGUAAAACUCUGUUGUUAGAGAA
rnacentral:rRNA from 1 species